rnacentral:rRNA from 1 species
GGGCUGGUGAGGACACAGGGAUUGCCCCAGUAACGGCGAGUGAAGCGGCAACAGCUCAAAUUUGAAAUCUGGCCCCCAGGGUCCGAGUUGUAAUUUGUAGAGGAUGCUUUUGGCGAGGUGCCUUCCGAGUUCCCUGGAACGGGACGCCACAGAGGGUGAGAGCCCCGUCUGGUCGGCCACCGAGCCUCUGUAAAGCUCCUUCGACGAGUCGAGUAGUUUGGGAAUGCUGCUCAAAAUGGGAGGUAUAUGUCUUCUAAAGCUAAAUACUGGCCAGAGACCGAUAGCGCACAAGUAGAGUGAUCGAAAGAUGAAAAGCACUUUGAAAAGAGGGUUAAAAAGUACGUGAAAUUGUUGAAAGGGAAGCGCCUAUGACCAGACUUGGGCCCGGUGAAUCAUCCAGCGUUCUCGCUGGUGCACUUCGCCGGGCACAGGCCAGCAUCAGUUUGGCGCGGGGGACAAAGGCUCUGGGAAUGUGGCUCCCCCGGGAGUGUUAUAGCCCACCGCGUAAUACCCUGCGCCGGACUGAGGUACGCGCAUUCGCAAGGAUGCUGGCGUAAUGGUCAUCAGCGACCCGUCUUGAAACACGGACCAAGGAGUCGUCUUCGUAUGCGAGUGUUCGGGUGUCAAACCCCUACGCGUAAUGAAAGUGAACGUAGGUGAGAGCUUCGGCGCAUCACCGACCGAUCCUGAUGUUCUCGGAUGGAUUUGAGUAAGAGCAUACGGGGCCGGACCCGAAAGAAGGUGAACUAUGCCUGUAUAGGGUGAAGCCAGAGGAAACUCUGGUGGAGGCUCGCAGCGGUUCUGACGUGCGAAUCGAUCGUCAAAUAUGGGCAUGGGGGGCGAAAGACUAAUCGAACCUUCUAGUAGCUGGUUUUCUGCUCGAAGUCCCCCCUAGGGGAGGG